rnacentral:lncRNA from 1 species
GGUAAGUUCGUAUGCGUUGUUCAAUUUUGAGAGGUUAAGUUCAGUUUAGUCUUGUUGAAUUCAUAACUCGAUUGCUAAAAUAGUUGUUGGGGUACUAUUUUUAGGUUCUAGGAAUCAAGUGGUUGUUUUUGCAUCAAAAUCGAGCCAGGUGUGUAACGAGAAACUCGAAAAAUGGCAAUCAGUGAAAGCCAAAAAUUUAG